GACGAACGCUGGCGGCGUGCUUAACACAUGCAAGUCGAACGGAAAGGCCCUGCUUUUGUGGGGUGCUCGAGUGGCGAACGGGUGAGUAACACGUGAGUAACCUGCCUAUAAGACUGGGAUAACUUCGGGAAACCGGAGCUAAUACCGGAUAAUAUAUUGAACCGCAUGGUUCAAUAGUGAAAGACGGUUUUGCUGUCACUUAUAGAUGGAUCCGCGCCGCAUUAGCUAGUUGGUAAGGUAACGGCUUACCAAGGCAACGAUGCGUAGCCGACCUGAGAGGGUGAUCGGCGACACUGGAACUGAGACACGGUCCAGACUCCUACGGGAGGCAGCAGUAGGGAAUCUUCCGCAAUGGGCGAAAGCUUGACGGAGCAACGCCGCGUGAGUGAUGAAGGUCUUCGGAUCGUAAAACUCUGUUAUUAGGGAAGAACAAAUGUGUAAGUAACUAUGCACGUCUUGACGGUACCUAAUCAGAAAGCCACGGCUAACUACGUG
rnacentral:rRNA from 1 species